UGAUUAACUCGCAAGUGUUACCAGCUGCUGUCCCGCUGUUCUGUGUCACCGUAUCUGCUCUCAAAAAUUUAUGUGACAAUUCUUUUAACUUUUUCCCCUCUCCGACUCCUUCUCUUUCUGUUAACCCUCUCUCACAACAGCAUGUCCCUCCCUUCCUCUUUCUGUGUCUCUUAGCACGCCCUCCCUUCGCUCUCCUUCCCUCUUGGCAGCAGUGCCAAAGUGGGCAGGCAGACGGAGGCAAACACAGCACAGGCCAGAGCAAAGGGCGAUUCAAAGGCUGGCAAAUUGAUAAAUGUAGACGUUUUCAACUGUAUAGUGUCUGUCAUUUUGUUGUUCUUGUUCCUUUUUUUUUUGCGAUUGCCGCGUUGUUUGUCUCGGUGCCCUCUUCUGUUCCUUGCCCACACUGAGCCUGUUUUACUGGUUCACGUUUCGGAUGUGUUUGUAGAGCUAUGCGAGAGCAGACGUCCUUCUGUCACCCUGUGCUUAAGCAGACGCACUCAUGCCAGGAGGAGGGGAUUGUGGGAAAAAGGGGUGUCACUCUCAGAGGGUGUGCUCUACUCCUCUCUUUUCCCUUCUUCCCGCCAUCACGGCCCUCUUCUACUCCAGUCCUCCGGCCCAGGCCGCCGCUCAGAUACAGACUCCAGGUAUUUUCCCUUUUUAUCCCGAAACACCUCUUGCUGUCUCUUUCACUGCCAUGUACUGUUGCUCACCUAUUUCCUCUGUCCUUUAUCCCGAUCAUUGUCCCGUAAACACGUCUGUCGUCGUCAGCUGCCACGCCGCACACCGCCAUUUUGACUCGAUGGCCAUAACAGGAGAAACUUUUCUCGCCCUCAGAGGGACUCUUUGACUCCCUGCUAGUCAUCUUCGGUCUCGAGCUUCUUUUUAAACUCUCCAGGCUCUCUUUUUUCGUGUUCCCUUUCCUCUCCCUCUCUGCUCUGAAACAACUGGGCACUUGCCAAGUGGUGAUCAAUAUUUCUGUGUGUUUUUUUUCGUAAUGAACAGGUUUCACUUUGGAGUAAAUACAGGUCCUGCUGAUUAAUUUUCAAAGACAUUGCCAAAGAAUGGCAGCGCCCGUUGUUUUCAGGUCGGUCCGAAUUGGUGUGUGGCGAAGGUCGUAAGGCCACUGAGGCACUUGCUGGGUCUCUUAUCACCUUGGGCAGCUGCUAUAAGUAACACAAUGUUUCUCAUUACCCUCACAAACUGUUUGCACUUUCAAGUUUCACUCGGCAAUAUUGCCUUCGUUUAAAAUGCACGUGCGUUUGUGCUUUGUACAAGCGAGAGGAACGAAAGGUGUAAUGUUUGUCUCAAACCCAUGCACUUGACUCGGUAGACAUGAAGACUGAGUCACGUUGAUAAGUCCAGUUUCAUGAGCAAAAAUUGCAAUAAUUGUUCAAGACAAAACGUGACCAUUGAGAUACUAUUUUAUUUCAGCACUAUUUUGCCUCAGUAGCAUUUGGUGCUAAAAUGGCGCCGUGAAGCCACGUGUUUCACAAACAGCAAAAAAAGGGCAGACGCCAUGCCUCUCGGUUCAGUUUGCGGGUCUAUUUUUCUGGAUUGCGUCACAUCCGUCUUCGUCAAUUGCUCAAUUUUGGCACCCACAUCAAAUUUUUUUUGAUGAGAACGCAGUAAUAAGGCAUCAUUUUAUCGACAUCAUCAUUUAAGGAAAAUACUCAGUAAGAAGCUGACGCUGAAGAGACAACAUGGUGCAAGCGAUAGGAAGAGAGAUGGGAGUGGCAGAGCGCCCUCCCCGCCCCCUCGCGUAUCCUCAGAUGAACUUAGUGUGUUUCCUCAUUAUGUUCCUCCUUCAGGCAGCUAACUUCCUGCUUAAAGCUGAUUGGUUGAUAUUUUGUCUGGCCUGUCACUGUAUGCAGCAAGGCAACAGGAAGUUUUUGUUUCCACACAGGAAGCUGCAGCUUUGUCAUCCUAUUCAUGCCAUACCUCUGUGUAAAUACUGUAUUUGCGCGUGUGUGCGCGGCCUACAUCAGUGCAAAAACAUGUGGGCGUGUAGCAACAUGCCAUCAGGCCAGGAAUCCGUGCCAUCAGAAAGACUGAAACCAUGGCAACAGCACACAAUGUCAGAAAAUGGAUAUAUAGGCUGAACAGACGAGAUCAAUUAUAUUAAAUAAUUUAAAAAAUGUUUACAAAAAUCAUUCAUUGCAAAUUAACCUGUCAAUUUGAGUGCAAGGUGUUUGCUCUGCAAGCUUUUAAAUACACAUAUUUACGAAGCAAGUACUACUGUAUAUCUAUGCCUGGAAGAAAGUAAUGUCUUAGUGAAUACAAUAGAGCCUUUACUCCAACAUUAUCUGAGUCACUCUAUCUUUUCCAUCAAAUGUCUUGACAGAUAUGUUUGCCCAGUGUUUGGAUCCACCAGUCUCACAUCAGCGUGUGAAGCCUUCUGUCUAGCAAGAGUCAUUUGCACAGCAUUGGAAUUGUUUUCAUCAGUGACGUGCGGUGAGGUUCAUGACUGGAGUGUGACCUUGACGGCUGCACUAUGAUGAGGCAACAUGAAUGCUGUCCUUGGGCCUGAGGAGACAGCUUGGUCGUCGCCCAGGUGACAAUAUGGAAGUGUUCAAGCAACACAGCAACUCACAUAACACAUAUUGUUGUGACAAUUACUGCGCUGUAUAGAAUAUGGUACCUGACCGGUGAAUAUGUUUGACCUGGGCUUUGUCAGGGUGAGGUAGUAGGUUGUAUAGUUUGGUGGGUGGGUCUGCACCCUACUCAGGUGAUAACUAUACAGUCUAUUGCCUUCCCUGAGCGGCUCACGCACGGACAGCUAAAGAUUAUUGAGCAAAACUAGUGCGCAUUUAUUUUGUAUUUGUAUUUGUGUAUGUUUAUUUGAAGGACAAUGUCCAGUUACAUUAAGAAGAUGGCUGCACCAGAUUUAGCACCAUGCUAAUUUCCAUCUGUAGUCCUUUUAUGGUGCAUCUAACAUCCACAAUAAAAUUGCACAUGUUUGAAAAUACACAACGAUAUUAAAAUUACAUGAUGAUAAACAAUUUAAAAAUACAAGUACAAUACAUAGAGGGUAUGUGAGUUACAAAUCAGUGGGUGGUCAAGUUACAGUAUUUUAGCAGCUUCAUUUAAAGUGCAGAAGUAUAUAAAGUGCAGCAGUUGUUAUCAAAGUCCACAUACAGUGCAGUAGCCAUCAGAUGAUCAAUCAACCCCAUUGAUAAUGCAUAUAUAAAACAGUUUGCAAUGUUACAAGAUUGGAAUUGUACUCUGGUGGCCAUCAGACUGCUCCUGCCAGGGUAUCAUUUGAUUUGUAUACGUCACUCAAUUAUAAGUGUGAACAACGAACUGUUUAAGUAAAAAAUGUCAACAAAUUCAGACUUUACAAAUGCUUGGCUUUACCAUUGUAGUCUUGAGCGCCCUCCAGUGAAUACAACGGAAUACUGCAAACCCAGUUCACCACCCUUGAAUGUCCUCGUCCACCAGUGAAAUGUAAAGGAUCAUUUUAAAGUUUGUAUUGUUUUACAGUUUUAUACAACAUAUCAGACUAGAAAAUGUGUGUAUAACACGUGAAAUAAAAACUGAACAUAUUUCCAUCAGACGUUGAAGACAGUUUGAAGGACACGCCAAAUAACUAAGAACACAGCAGUGGUGCUGAUUUGAGUUAAAAUGUAGUUCCGGGUAAUAGUCUUUUACAUUAUCCUCCUUCAAAACCGCACUAAAAGAACACCUCCAGGCAACUUCAACCCUUAACUAACACCCUCUUUUCCACAUCCUACCUCUUCGGAUUGUAAAUAAUCAAAUGUAGACACUUUUUCUUAUACUUUCUGAUGUCUCUCUCUGUGUCCACUACUUGCUGUACAUAUCCUACCAAGUCAGCCCUACACUGUUCCAAUGUCAAUUUCUCUAAUGAUGCAAUUGUUGAUGACUGAAGUGUUGAUACCAAGCAAACCUAACCCACCCCUCCACAUCCCACACCCCGGAUUGUAAAUAAUUCAAUGUAUAUACUCUGAUGAUUAUCUUGUGUGAUGACUGUAUAUAUAUGAUAGUAUAUAUCUGUAUCAUGAAUCCAUUUAAGUGGACCCCGACUUAAACAAGUUGAAAAACUUAUUCGGGUGUUACCAUUUAGUGGUCAAUUGUACGGAAUAUGUACUUCACUGUGCAAUCUACUAAUAAAAGUUUCAAUCAAUCAAUCCAUCAAUCGAUAGAAACUACAAAGAGUAGAAGGUUUUAUUUUUAUUUUUUUAUAUAUUUUUUUAUUGAACAACAAACAUACAUUUAUAAUUAACUCAAUAGUUAAGGCACUUUCAACAGCAAGGAAAGAAAACAAAAGCAAGUACAGAUAGAGUAUUAAAUAUUAAUAAAUUAUAAUAAUAACAAAUAUAUUUAAAAAAAAAAAAAAGACAAAAAAGGUCUACCUAAAUCACUUUAAAUGCUUUUAACAAAGAUAUCAAUUAAAUGGCUUUUGUACUCUUAAUCAUUCUCCAAGAUUUGAUUGAUAAUUGUAAACCAUUAAGCCAAUUAGAAAAUGUAGGCCUUGCUUUCAUAAAUCGACAUUUACCGUAUUUUCCGGAGUAUAAGUCGCACCUGCCGAAAAUGCAUAAUAAAGAAGGAAAAAAACAUAUAUAAGUCGCACUGGAGUAUCCAUCCAUCCAUCCAUUUUCUACCGCUUAUUCCCUUCGGGAAUAUAUCUCAGUAUAAGUCGCAUUUUUUGGGGAAAUUUAUUUCAUAAAAUUCAACACCAAGAAUAGACAUUUGAAAGGCAAUUUACAAUAAAUAUAGAAUAGUGAACAACAGGCUGAAUAAGUGUACGUUAUAUGAGGCAUAAAUAACCAACUGAGAACGUGCCUGGUAUGUUAACGUAACAUAUUAUGGUAAGAGUCAUUCAAAUAACUAUAACAUAUAGAACAUGCUAUACGUUUACCAAACAAUCUGUCACUCCUAAUCGCUAAAUCCCAUGAAAUCUUAUACGUCUAGUCUCUUACGUGAAUGAGCUACAUAUUAUUAUUUGAUAUUUUACGGUAAUGUGUAAAUAAUUUCACACAUAAGUCGCUCCUGAGUAUAAGUCGCACCCCCGGCCAAACUAUGAAAAAGACUGCGACUUAUAGUCCGAAAAAUACGGUAUGUAGAAAUUGUUUUGCCUGGUGCAUAAUAAUGUUGACAAACAUUUCUAUGUUACAGUCGUUUAUAAAAAUACCAAAUCUGAUCUCUUCUAUAGUGAAUGGGGAGAUCUCCACGCCCUUGUCUCUCAGCCAAUCUCUGAUCUCCUCCCAAAACACAUGUGCACUCUCACAUUCCACAAACAGAUGAUUGGCAUCCUUUACAGCUCCACAUAUAUAACAGCCAUCAACCUCUAUGUUAAAUUUAAGUUUCAAAAAAAUCCUUUGAAGGGUAUAUUCCAUUAAUAAUUUUAAAUCGUAUUUCUUUAAUUUUGGGAAGAAUUGGAAUAUAUCUUGUCCUCAUGUUCCUUGGCUCAGCUUUUGUAAACUCCUUCAGGAUAUAUUGUCUAUGAACUGUGGCCGGAAAAUAUAAUUUCACUAAAACUGCCUACUUAUAUAUUUGAUGGAACAUUUUUCAUCACAGAAAUUAAACAACUAGUAGAAGUGCCUGUUUCCACCUUUCAUUCGGCAAUUAGCAGACAAUUGUGCGCACUAUUGCCUUCUUUAGGACAGGCGUGGAAUAGCAGGCACGUGACAGCUUUGCAAGGCGUACAGUCAUUAUUGUAUUUGUACAAUUAUUUCACCCUACGUACGAUCAAUAAUUAUAAACAUGUCAUAAUUUUCGAUGAUCUCACCGAGUCAAAACAUGACUAUUAGCUUACUUAAACAGGCAUAAUAUAUACAGCAAUGUGCACUCUGCGUCUCCGCCUGUUGCAGGCUGCCUCACGUGUCUCUUUAUAGCCAAUCAACACACAGUAACACGAAUGCCGUAACCGGUAGACGCAUAGACAUCUUAUAAGUAGACGCAGCAUUGAGCGCUACUGCCUACCGGCGCUGACGAGACGCGGGGCCGCCAUCUUGGAGUGGUGAUCGGCUCCACUCAGUGCAAUUCAUUUGGCAGGAGCAAUGAACUGUCAGCGCAUUUAAUUCAUCUUUCUCACUGAAUACCACUGAUUUUCACGCGGUUUUUGUCAUACGUGUACCUAUGAUAAAGGACACAUGUUUUGGCGUGUUUUAUUAUUCAUAGUUUGCGUAACAGUCAUAUAAUAUUCUUAUAUGCUAUAAAUGACAGAUGUCCGAGAUCAAAAACUGAGAAUAUAAUCCCAGAGAAGGGGAAAAACGGUCAGCUAUUUUUAAGUUGAAGAAACAAUAUGAUUAGGUUAUAUAUACAUGCGUAUAUCCUACAUAAACAAUGUAUGAAUACAUUAGAUAUCUAUAUAUCUUAGAGACAUAUAGACUGUAUCUCUGUUGCUGCAGCAGCAGAGUUUAUUCUGUCUUGACACUUUGUAUUGAUAUUUUGUAUUACAUUCUUCCCUUAAAUGAUAAUGUUUACAGUGAUUGUUUCAUAUGUAAUUUUUAUGUAUGUCGCUUUGGAUAAAGGCGUCUGCCAAAUACUUAAACAUAAACAUAUAUAAACACCUGAAAGUCUUUAUAUCAGCUAAAACCACCAAUCUGUUUCACUGGAUUCUGAAUAAAAUCAAAUUCUGUCUUACCCAACAAUGUUAUUGUUACUUGAAGACUUAUUCCUGGUUACAAUUAUACUGUUAAGAAAGUAUUGUCUUAUACUUUGCCUAAAAUGAGAAUGCAUCAUAAUCAGUGGCGGCUGGUGAAUUUUGUUUUAGGUGGGGCUGAAAGUUUGUAAACCAAACCCCUGUAGGGGGGUCAUCCUCCCCCAGAAGAUUUCUUUGUGAUUUGCACAUACAAAUGAAGCAUUCUGGUGCAUUCUGACAAAAUAACGAAGACAAAAUAGAACAUUUCAUAGGUUUGCAGAGAACUAUAUACAAUAUGCACACUGAAGGCAUGAUGACACAAAAAAGAAAAAUGACAUAUUUCACGAAGGUGGGCUACACAAAAUUGGGUUGGAAAGCUAGACUAAAUUUAGACUUGUAUACAGUAAUACUGUAUAGCCACUGUCCAUCUGAUUGUCUAGUUAGCUAACAUAUAUUACCCCCCCUACACAAUCUGGACUGUGGUCCUAACUUUUACCCCUGUUGGCUUUUACAAUCUUUAUCUUCAUCAUUUAUUUCAACUUUAUGUUAUUCAAGUAUGACAUUUUUAAAUGUAAUUAAUUUCAUUGACAAGCAAUUAUAUUAUGGUCAUGCUCUUGUUUGCUAGCGGCUACGAUUUCGGUACUAUUGAAGAUCUUUGCUCCUUCUCAACUCUGUGGUAAUAUUAUUUUCAUAAAAUACAACCAAUAUUACGUUAAUGUUAAAAUCUUACUUGUGAAAAGUAAUCCCCCGAUUCCUAUUUUCAACAGUCCGCUCAUUUGAGCAGGAAAACACUGAACACCAUCUUUGUUUUCUACCUGUCAACUGUCAGUUUAGCAUCUUUGUUUUCUACCUGUCUGCUAACACAGACCCGCAGACGUGAGCACAUCACCCCUAUUUUAGCGUCCCUUCACUGGCUCCCUGUGCGUUACCGAAUACAUUUUAAACUCCUUUUAUUUGUUUUUAAAUGUCUAAACAACCUCGCGCCAACCUAUCUCUCCGACCUCCUUCAGCCUUACUGCCCCACCCGAUCCUUAAGAUCAGCCGAUCAGCUGCUGUUGACGGUCCCUGACACAAGGCUGAAGCUUAGAGGUGACAGAGCUUUCGCCGUUGCUGCUCCCAAGCUCUGGAACGACCUACCCCUGAGUGUUAGACAAGCCUCCUCUCUUCCUGUUUUUAAAUCUCUCUUAAAAACAUACUUUUAUUCCAUAGCUUUUAACACUGAGUGAUAUCCAUCCUGCAAUGGCGCCCCAUAAUACACCUGCUGUGAUCCUGUUUUUAUGUUUUUAUGUUUUUAUUAAUUCUAUUUUAAUUAUUAUUUUUUUUUAUUGUGUUCUGUUUGUGUUGUGUUGUGUUUGCUCGGUACUCGUUUUAUCUUUUAACCUGCUCAUUGUACAGCACUUUGGCUACCCCUGUGGUAAAUUUUAAAUGUGCUUUAUAAAUAAAGUUGAUUUGAUUUGAUUUGAUUUGUCAACUGUCAGUUUCGGUUGCUCGCUGGCUCCUCAUCACCACUUCAAGAUGGCGGCCGAAUUUCUCGCGUCACAGCAGCCAAUGCUGCGUCUACUUAAAAGAUGUCUAUGGGUAGACGCACAUAACACGGAAGUACGCAACGUAAACAAAGGUGGACUAUUGACGUGUACAAAGAGAGUGUCCGAGAGAUUACAUAAAAAGAAGAUGCAGGGAGAGGUGGGGACGAAGGGGUAGGUAUGACAGUAUCGCCAGCAGACUGAAACGAAUGAGGGGAAACUACACUUUUAAUUGAUGGCUCUAUCGGCAACGUUUUUUGUUGUGGCUACAUGCAAACGUGGCAUAGAUCAUCGUUCUAAAAAAAAUCACACCAAGUCAAAAAAAAAAAAGAACAAAAAAAUGCCACAGAAAUGUCAAA